rnacentral:rRNA from 1 species
CCUACGGGUGGCUGCAGUAGGGAAUCUUCCACAAUGGACGAAAGCCUGAUCCAGCAAUGCCGCGUGAGUGAUGAAGGCCUUAGGGUUGUAAAGCUCUUUUACCCGGGAUGAUAAUGACAGUACCGGGAGAAUAAGCCCCGGCUAACUCCGUGCCAGCAGCCGCGGUAAUACGGAGGGGGCUAGCGUUGUUCGGAAUUACUGGGCGUAAAGCGCACGUAGGCGGCUUUGUAAGUUAGAGGUGAAAGCCUGGGGCUCAACUCCAGAACAGCCUUUAAGACUGCAUCGCUUGAACGUCGGAGAGGUGAGUGGAAUUCCGAGUGUAGAGGUGAAAUUCGUAGAUAUUCGGAAGAACACCAGUGGCGAAGGCGGCUCACUGGACGACUGUUGACGCUGAGGUGCGAAAGCGUGGGGAGCAAACAGGAUUAGAUACCCCUGUAGUC